rnacentral:rRNA from 1 species
CACGCUCGGAUUGUAGUCUGCAACCCGACUACAUGAAGCUGGAAUCGCUAGUAAUCGCGGAUCAGAAUGCCGCGGUGAGUACGUUCCCGGGUCUUGUACACACCGCCCGUCACACCAUGAGAGUUUGUAACACCCAAAGCCGGUGGGGUAACCUUUUGGAGCCAGCCGUCUAAGGUGGGACAGAUGAUUAGGGUGAAGUCGUAACAAGGUAUC